rnacentral:sRNA from 10 species
CUCUCUGAAACAUCCAUCUCCUUUCCGAGUACGACUCGCUUUAUGUUUCUGUUCUUCUUUUUAGGUUACUUGAUGGUCUUCCGCGUAGUUUCCAGAUAUUUUUCUCCUAUCUAAGUGAACGAAUGCAAUUUGAAAGCGUCGAAAAAAGAAAUUGAAAAAAAGAAAAGAACGGAGAGUCAUUUGAAUGAGGACGCUGAAGUGAAGGAGAAGCACUCGUCGGAGGAAAAAUGGAGUAAAUCGAUGAGAGUUAGUGGUGACCUCUGGCAGCGGAGAGGGAGGAUUCCCAACGUCAGGAAGCGGAAAGUGAGGCUUCCCGUUUACAAGUUUGCUGCUACGCGCCGCCACAUCAGUCAGGAUUUUGUUAAGGCAAUUGUUGAAGACAUAUAUAAACCGAUAACAGGCUGUCGUCUCGAAGUCAUUUCGGGUGCUUUACAGGAGCGGUACCGAUUGCUAAUGAUAACGAACCAAAUUUGGUCCGUCGAGAAAUUGCUAAUUAUGAUGAACCAAAUUUGGUCCACCAAGAAAUUCAAAUGCUAGAGACUGCUGAUGAUGGUCCACUGUUAACGAUUGCUGAUGGUGUUGUAUACCAACUUCCUAACAAUCAAGAUGACUGGCGUUUAAAGGAUGUUUUAGCAUGGGUUUUCCCCAUCUGCAACUUUACCCUGGAACUCCCUUCAACGGUUUUUGAUCAGCUUUCCUCCAAAGAUCACCCUCAAUAUGCACUCAUUGCGAUGUUAUUUUCGUUCAUAGCACUGAUGUCUUGCAUUGCUGAGCUUAUUUUCAAUGGUAAAAUGGAAAGAGUUACUUGGCAGUGGAGAGACACAGUACCUUGGUUUUAUUGUCGACCAACCGACAAGCUUUUUGGUACCCUGUAGGAGAUCAUUGGAUUUGCUUGUGCUUUCCUUCAAUGUGUUAUUGCAGCCAUCAAUUAUUCAUUUA